GACGAACGCUGGCGGCGUGCUUAACACAUGCAAGUCGAACGGAAAGGCCUGCUUUCCCUUGUGGAUUGCGGGUACUCGCGUGGCUAACGGGUGAGUAACACGUGAGUGAUCUGCCCCCAACUUGGGUAUAAGCCUGGGAAACUGGGUCUAAUUCCCGAUAGGACUGCAGGGUGGUGCCUGUGGUGGCAAACGAUUUUCUAGUGGUUGGGGAUGCGCUCGCGGCCUAUCAGCUUGUUGGUGGGGUAAUGGCCUACCAAGGCGGCGACGGGUAGCCGGACUGAGAGGGUGGACGGCCACACUGGGACUGAGAUACGGCCCAGACUCCUACGGGAGGCAGCAGUGGGGAAGAUUGCACAAUGGGCGGAAGCCUGAUGCAGCGACGCCGCGUGGGGGAUGACGGCCUUCGGGUUGUAAACUCCUUGCGACCGCGAGGAAGCCACCUGGUUGGAAGGGUGGUGACGGUAGUGGUAGAAGAAGCACCGGCUAACUACGUG
rnacentral:rRNA from 1 species